rnacentral:rRNA from 1 species
UACGUAGGGUGCAAGCGUUAAUCGGAAUUACUGGACGUAAAGCGUGCGCAGGCGGUUUUGUAAGUUUGUCGUGAAAUCCCCGGGCUCAACCUGGGAAUGGCGAUGAAGACUGCAAGGCUAGAAUCUGGCAGAGGGGGGUAGAAUUCCACGUGUAGCAGUGAAAUGCGUAGAGAUGUGGAGGAACACCGAUGGCGAAGGCAGCCCCCUGGGUCAAGAUUGACGCUCAUGCACGAAAGCGUGGGAGCAAACAGG